rnacentral:rRNA from 1 species
GGGUUAGUAGGUUGGUCAUGCCUCUGGUAUGCACUGGUCUCACUGAUUCCUCCUUCCUGAUGAACUGUAAUGCCAUUAAUUUGGUGCUGCAGGGAAUCUGGACUGUUACUUUGAAAAAAUUAGAGUGUUUAAAGCAGGCUAACGCCUGAAUACAUUAGCAUGGAGUAAUGAAAUAGGACGUUCGAUCCUAUUUUGUUGGUUUCUAGGAACGACGUA